UUUCUAUUUACAAACCGAUAAUUUGCUGUCGCACGUAACGUGUAACACGAUGAUAACAUACGAAAAACAAACUGCAGUCUGUACUAAUAACAAUUACUGUAAUUAUACAACUUUACGUUCGGUGCUGCAAUCGCAGACGUUUUGUGAAACCGUAUCGAAAACAAACCGUCUUUAACGGUUGAAAUUCGAGAAAAGUCCGGCGGAUUUAUAGCGAAACGGCGGGUAGUUAUGGUUU